CCAGCAAGAUCAAGUAAUUGGAUAGCACCUCCGGACCAAUAUGCCAAAAUCAACGUAGAUGCGGCGGUCAGAGCCAGCCAGGGAUGGGGAGUGGCUGCUGCAAUAUGUCGUGACCAAGCGGGCUCCUUUCAGGGUGCUUCGGCUCUUGUUACCAGAGGAAUCAAGGACCCAUCGACGCUGGAAGCAAUGGCGGACAGGGAGGCCUUGGCGCUUGCUGAAGAUCUCAACUUUCACAGGGUUCACGUUGCAUCGGAUUGCAAAAUCGUGGUGGAUGAUAUCAAGAGCAAAACGCCAGCUACAUAUGAAGCUAUUUUGCAUGAAAUUAUAGAACACAGUUCAUCGUUUAUUUCUUGUAAUUUUGUGCAUGAGUUUAGGAGCUCGAAUGCCGAGGCUCAUAAUCUAGCGAAGCAUAGUUGA
rnacentral:rRNA from 1 species